CGGUUCAGUUCAGUUCGAGAUAUUUCUGUUCUAUUUUCAUCCAUAAUCAUCAGUUAGUAUUAUCCGAGUUAGUUUAUUUUUUUAAUCUCGUCAGAGAUUGUUUAGUGGUGUGAUAAGAAGAAAGGGCCCUUUUUUUCUAUUUUUUCUGCGUGUUAAGUGGUGAGAAGAGAUUUGCAGACACUGACCGAUGCUGAACAAUCGAUGACUCGUCCUACUGUGCAACGGUUAGUUGUACUGAAUGCUAUCAAAAGAUGGUAUAGUGUGCAACGGUUAGUUGCAUUAAGAGCCUUGUUUAAUUCUUCGCUUCUGGAUUGGAUCUGAGGGAUGAUUGAGUUGUCGCCAAAGAGAUUGGGUUCACGUACACCCUAGACUGAAAUACUGAUUCAGCACGUGCACUUGGUCGAUUUUCAGGCGUUGCGUAACAACAAUCUGCAUCACACGUUGCCCAUAUAUGAGGAGUUGCUUGGAUCAUGUGGCUGGCUGUGCGUUUAUUUGAAAGCGACAGGAACCUGCCAAAAGUAGCUAGAGAGAGGCUACAAAGUCAAACAAUCAUUUGAGAUGUGGAUCCAUCCAUCUCGCGGCCACAGUGCAUGGGAGAUCGUCAGAAUGCUGCUGGUCAUGCAUUUGCAUGCCGACACGGCAAUGCAGCAGGCCAGCAGAGCUCAUGAGUGCGAUCUGAUAGUGUUUAGGGUAGCUCUCUACUAACAGUAUCCAAACAUGACGCAUGGUUAGGCUCUGUUUAGAUUGCUGAUGAAAUUUUUUUAGGUGUCACAUCGGAUAUGUCAGAAAGAUGUCGGGAGGGGUUUUU
rnacentral:lncRNA from 1 species